ACGCUCGACACCUACUGGAGGCAGCAGUGGGGAAUAUUGCACAAUGGGGGAAACCCUGAUGCAGCGACGCCGCGUGAAGGAAGAAGUAUCUCGGUAUGUAAACUUCUAUCAGCAGGGAAGAAAAUGACGGUACCUGACUAAGAAGCCCCGGCUAACUACGUGCCAGCAGCCGGGGUAAUCUGAGCGGGCUGGCAAGGC
rnacentral:rRNA from 1 species